UNNNNNNNNNNAUUCGAUGGAGGGGACUGUUGUGGUGUGGGGGGAGGGGGGAGGGGGGAGAGAUAGCAUUAGGAGAUAUACCUAAUGCUAAAUGACGAGUUAAUGGGUGCAGCACACCAGCAUGGCACAUGUAUACAUAAGUAACUAACCUGCACAUUGUGGACACGUACCUUAAAACUUAAAGUAUAAUAAUAAUAAUUAAAAAUUCCAUAAGUCCUGGAAUGCAAAAAAAAUUAAUUAAAUCUAACUUCCCAAUUAAAAAAAAAAAAGAAUCAUGAAAGUGACAUCCCAUCACUUUAGCCAUGUUCUAUUUCUUAAAAGCAAGUUAUUAGGUUCUUCCUAUAUGCAAGGCAAGGGAAUUAUGCAGGAGCAUGGAUAUGAUGAAGUGGGGAUUAUUGGGAGUUUCUUUAGAGCUGCCUGCCAAACUUAUUUUGUGUGUAGCUGAAUUGAUCAUUUUUAACCCCCUGCUACUUACUGAGAAAUAUUUAUUUUCUGAUCAUUUUAUCAGUGUAGUUAGGCAGUGUUCAGGCUGAUACCAAAAUGUUUAGACCCUCCUGUGGCCUACCCAUUCCCUUGCUCAUUUUUCUCUGACAUUUUUCAAGUGGGAGGACUGGGGUGUGGUUUAGUUGAGAAGCGCACACCACCUGAGUAAACUCAGGGCAGUUAAAAAAUGUGUAAGUUAUCAAGUGUAGAUGCUUUUACCUCCCUUUGAAGUGAUGUCUCUUGUCCAUUAGGGUGUUGCUGCCCUUUCAGCUGAAUAUUGUAGCUGAUGUAACAGGUAAGCUUGUCUCUUUUGACUUAGACAAGAACUAGUAGCACCGGACGCGGUGGCUCACGCCUGUAAUCCCAGAACUUUGGGAGGCCGAGACGGGCAGAUCACCUGAGGUCGGGAGUUCAAGACCAACCUGGCCAAUGUGGUGAAACCCCAUCUCUACUAAAAAUACAAAUACCUGAGCGUGGUGGUGCAUGCCUGUAAUCCCAGCUACUCAGGAGGCUGAGGCAGGAGAAUCGCUUGAACCCAGGAGGCGGAGGUUGUGGGGAGCCGAGAUCGUGCCAUUGCACUCCAGCCUGGGCAACGAGGAAGACACCAUCUCAAAAAAAACAAAAAGAAAAAGAACUAGUAGCAUCUCUUUGCUUAAUCUGUCUGAGAUCAGUUGGACAGAGACCAAACAAAUAUGGCCAUGUCUCUAUUAAACCCUGGCUCAGCCAGGUUAUUCUGCAGGGCUCUUAUACUACCACCUUACCGUGUGUAUGAAGGGUGCUGCUAAAAAAAAUCACCUAUGGUGCUGUGUCUAUGUUUUGUGGAACUAAUAUGGCUCAAGAAGACUCAAUCUAGCCAUCUCUUUCAAGCUGCCCAACUCAUACUGUCCUGCCAAAUUUACUCUGAUGUAGCUGCAUGCCAGUUGGUACAGAGCGGCCAAUGAGGAGUCUGCACGUACACUCCCAACGGUGAUUAUGAGUAACAUGUGUCUGCUCCUAGCUUAAAUUAUGAUCAUUAACAUAAUGUACUCCUUAGUAAGACAAGGCCCACAGAAAAGAGAAUCAGAACAUAAUUCAGAAAUUUUUUGUCUCUUUUCUAUUUUUGUUUCCACACUUCCCUUAGGAACUAAAGAAUAAAUUAACAGUUUCUUCAUUCAUUUUUCUGUAUAGAUUUCCCCAUAAUAUUAUUUACCAACACUACUAAGCCUGACUUUUGAUGUAUUAAAGGGCAAAAGAAGAAAUUUAAAUAACUUCCAAUUCUUCUUAAUUAAUAAAUGAAUUAGACCCAUACCUCAGAGUGCACUCAAAAUUGACCUUAUAAAUUAGUACCUAAUUAGACUUAGUAUAUGACAUAAUAUAAAAUUAGACCUAAUGUAAGAAGCAAAAAUAAAACUUAAAAAAUAAAACAGGAGUAAAUUCUGAUGAUCUUGGUUUAGGCAAAGUUUGUCAUCAAAAUUUAAAACUUUUGUGUUUCAGAAUAUACCCUUAUGUAAGUAUAAAUACAAGCUACAGGCUAGAAGAAAACAUUUGCAAGCAAUAUAUCUGAUAAGAGACUUUAGCUAGAAUACAUAACUCAUUCAAUUUAAUAAGAUGAUGACAAAUAACCAAAUUAAAAACUGAGCAGAAAGCUUGGAUAGAUAUUUUACCAAAGAAGAUCUACAAAUGGCAAAUGAGCACAUGAAAAAUGCUAACAUCAUUAGACAUCAAGGAAAUAUGAAGUAAAAUCACAAUGAGAUCAUGCUUUACCCACACAAGAAAAGCUAAGUCAAAAGUCAGACAUGCACAUGUGUUAAUGAAGGUGUAGAAAAGAUGAAAUCCUCAUUGAUGAGGGAAUGUAAAAUUGUGCACCUAUUUUGGAAAAGAUUUUAACAAUUGCUUAAAACUUUAACAUUAGUUAAACUUUGUAAGACUGAUAAAUUCUACUCCUAGGUCUCUCCCCAAAAUAAAUGAAAAUAUUUGGCUACACAAAAUGUUUACACAAAAGCUUAUAGCGUCAUUACUCAAAAGUAUAUCCAUAUAAUGGAAUACUCUUCAGUAAUAAAGAGGAACAAAUUACUGUUGCAUGCUGCAAAAUGAAGGAACAGACAAAAUGUUAUGCUAAGUGAAAACAGCUAGACACAAAAGAUCACAUAUCAUAUGGUUUCAUUUAUAUGAAGUAUUCAAAAUAAAAAAACAAAUCUACAGAAGCAAAAGCCAGAUCAGUAGUUCCCUAAGGUUGGAAGUAAGGAUGGGAAAUGACUACAGUGGGCAGAAAUUUUCCUUUGGGGGUGAGAGAAAUGUUCUAGACCAGCAGAGAAAAUUAUAUAAAGCAGAAUCCUCAUUCUUGUGUCUUGAGAUCCCAUUACAAAUGUAGGCAAAAACCCGCAGUAGGUAUUAGCAGUGUCUGUGACAUUGUCACCAAUAAAAAUUAUGCAAAUUUUCAUAUUACACAUAUAUUUUCAUAUAAUGAUAAUUUGGUAUCAUUAUAGAUACCACAAAAUCUUGUUUACUCUCAUCACCAUUUCAAAAUCAUAAUUGUUAGACCCACUGUAAUAUAUUAAUAAUUUUAAAGGGGCACAUAAAUUACUAUAUAAUACAGUUAUUCUUUACUAUUUACACAUUUGGAUCUCAAUAUAAUUAGUUUCUCUUGUAAUCCAAAGUAAACAUUAUUCUUGGGAAAAUGACUCAGGCUUCCCAGUCUGCUAAAGUUGUCCAUAGCAUAAGAAAAGUUUAAAAAUCUCUGAUACAGAGAUGCAAAUGUCACCAAAAGAGGACUUUCUUGAUAAGAAAUAAAGAAAAAAUUUUUUCAUAAGCAAUAAUGUGAAAAGUAAUGAGAAUAUAAAGAUUAGCCAGGAGAUACACUGGAGACACCAACCUAAAGAGAUAAAACAAAUCUGAUUUGCAGUACUCCAAGGAGCCAGCACAGAACUUUACAUAAGACAAUGAUACAGAUAAGAGAUCAUUUGAAUAUGUGGCUUAUGAGAUAGAGCUGGAAAAGAAAGUGAUCUAAGAAAGGUUGGUGAUUAACGGGAUUGGACAUUCCACAUUGCAGGAAAGAGUAUAUAUGUGUAUGAAUGUGUGCAUGUGUAUAUAUGUGUAUGGUAUAUAUAUAUAUAUAUAUAUAUAUAUGUAUUGACAUCAACUCAGUUUCUUUACUAAGUUUGAUUUCUGUAAUAGUUUUAUUUAUUUUUGAAGAAGAGUCACCACAAAAAUUUUAGGCAUUCAUUGAAGAAAAUUAAAAUUAAAAGGUUAUACUUCUCAGAAAAGUCAGUGACUUGUUCAAAAGUACUGAGAUAAAGAAAAACGUUACUAAUCACACACUCUAGGCAUUUAGUGUUUUGGCCUCUCUAAUUCUUGCUUUUAGCAGUCUAAAUUCUUGCCGUGGAAAUCACUGUGUAUAAACUAAUCUUAUUACUGAUAGAACACAAGGAACCAACAGGAUAAUUUUAAUAAAAAUGUUUGAAUACUACCCAAGUAUUAGUGGGCACUAAAAGAAAUCUCCCAUGAUACCACUAUUUUAUAUUUUGUUAAUUAUGUUAGAAUUUGCUAUAUUUUUAACGUAAAAUAAUCUCAAAGGUAGUUAUUAUUUCAGAAACAUAAGCUUAAUCAUGACUAUUUAAUAAUCAACACAUUAAGGAAUGGGGAUGCAGUUCCCUUUUUAAACUAUGAUAUCUUUGGGGAUGGAAUAUGAAUGAAUCAAUCAGCUUCUAUGGGCAAAUGUCCUUCCAAAGUAAUUGAGUCCUAAAUGCCAAACCAAAAUAGUUUGCCAUAGAUUCAAUGAAAAUGUUCUGUUCUACAGAAUGUUCUGACUGAUAGUAAAUUUAAUAACAUUUUAAAAUGUCAAGUUGAAUUUUAAUUCCAAGUUUGUAUCUUCUAGAAUGUAAUGUGUUACAAAUUCAAUAUCAUGAGACCAUCCUUCCUCAGUUUUUUUGAUCUAAGCAGUAAUAAAUUCAGAGAGCAAACAAUAUCAAGACUCUAUUUUGCUUAUUUGUUUCAGAAAUUCAAACAAUUUGUCUGAAUUACAAACCCGUAGGAAGCUAUUUUAAAAUAAAAGUAAUAAGAACAUUUAGAUUCAUGAAGUCUAAAUCAGGCAGAUUCUUAUGAUAUCCGAUAAUUCCACUUAAUUUCUAGCUUCCAAGCUAGACCAACCAUAGGAUAAAAAUAAAAUUUAAUAAGUGGUGAAACAGCGAUGUAUUGGUAAAAGUUUCACCUGUUCUAUAAAAUACAUAACUUUCAGUAAAUGUUUAUCUUGCUUGGUGAUAAAAAAGUAGUUUAGUUAAUAUAAAUGAAUUCAUAAAUAGGUAUUUAAAUACCUUAGCUAUGUAAAACAACAAUUCACAAAUACAAGAGGCUGUAGUUUUAUAUUAACAAAACAAUUGAUCUUGUUAAUGAUAGUAAAAAUGUAAACAAUUGUUUUGAUAUCUAUGUAAAUAUAAUUUAGCAUUACUAAACAUAAUUAUGUUUCAGAAAGGUUUUCUAUUACUUGUAAAAUGUAAUGUGCUACUUGAUAUAUCAAAAGAUACUGUUAUUUGCCAAUGCCCCGUUAUAUAUUUUGUGAUCCCAGAGUCAUUAGCAGCAUUACAAAAUAUCCUGACAUUCCCUGCCCCCUCCCUGCCAUUCCCAAGGAAAGCAGGAAAUUUUUCCCCAGGAUUUAGCCAUUUCUCUUGAAUGAAUGCUCCUUGAAUUUUUGCAGGCCUUCUCAACUAUUCCAGAAUUCUGAAAUAGUUGAUUUUGAUAAGUUUUGCCCUAUUAUCAUUGCUUUUAUUGAGGAACACACUUUUAGAACUCUUACUCAAAUGUUCUAGAGGUGCUUUUAUACUUGGUGAUAUUUUAACGUUAUUUUUAUCUCAAUUUCUGAUUUUUCAUUAUUUGCAUAAAAAGUAUAAUUGAGUUUUAUAUAUUGAUCUUGUAUAUUAUUUCCUUGUAAAACUUGCUGAUUAAUUCUAGCAGAAUGUUUUGUGGGUAUUAUUCACUAAAUUUUCUGCAUAGGCAAUCAUAACUUUUGGUUUCCAAAAAGCCU
rnacentral:lncRNA from 1 species